ACGGGGACUUGCCGCGUUACGGGGACUCGUAUAUGUCCCCGUAACACAAUCCCUUUCUGACGGCUCCAAUUCUUGGAUUUAUUGAUUGCCCUUUUAAACCAAGUUAGCAGGAGUAAAUUGUGAUUUAAAUCCGCUGGAAAUUUUACUGGAAACGCAUUUUCCUGUUUUUAAAUAAAGUUUACAAAAUAGUAUUGAUCUUCCCAAAGAUCAUGACGGACUCUCGAUUUCAAAGGCAAAAAGCGCCAACUUGCGUUGAAAUGUGAACAAUCUAGGGUUAGCUGCCUAGGCCAUAGGGCUAGCUAGCUAGGGUUAGGAAAACUCUAACAUUUUCGUACAGUAUUGAUUUUCGCCUGAUCGAGCGACCAGGAUAUCCGACUGCGAUGCGCGCCUCCUUGCUGGUCGACUCGCGGCCCGUGAGGGUAGCUAGCUCUAGCUACUACUAGACUGGACGCCAAACGGUGACGUGAAUGCAUGCACAUUUUUGCAGGAUCGACAUGAUUGCUGUCGACGUGGAUGUCGAGGCAGCUUACUCGACGAGCUGGACGAAGGCUGUAUUACAAACCUGUGCAGCAUUUGAUCGAGAGGCUGUUUGAACAACCACAUACUAGACCAGCACUUCGACCAGCUUAGCAUCAGGAUGCAUGUCAAUGUGAAGAGGCUGUGAAACCACUCCAAAUGCAGGUAACAAACCUGUGCAGCAUUUGAUCGAGAGGCUGUUUGAACAACCACAUACUAGACCAGCACUUAGACCAGCUUAGCAUCAAGAUGCAUGCCAAUGUGAAGAGGCUGUGAAACCUCUCCAAAUGCAGGUACCAUACCUGUGCAGCAUUUGAUCGAGAGGCAGUUUGAACAACCACAUACUAGACCAGCACUUAGACCAGCUUAGCAUCAGGAUGCAUGUCAAUGUGAAGAGGCUGUGAAACAUCCUUUAAUGCUGGGUAUCGAUGGAUAUAGGGUCUACCACACAGUUUAUCACCCCAAUGCAUCAGAGAAAGGACAUCAAUACUGAAGUGGGUAUGCAAAUGGAUUCCAUCUAUUCGAAACCAUGAAAGAACCUGCUAUGGCACAACCAGUAAUGAUGUUUCCCUCAAGCGGAAAGCAGUAGAGUGGACUUUCGUUUGAUUAGUCGCCACUAGCACCACAUAAUUCAUGUACAUACAGCAGGGGUGUGAAUGAUCCUAACAGACAGCCAUUACCAACAUGAUCAAGGCCAAAUUGAAUGUUAUUGAAAUGUAUGUUUUCCAUAAGUUUUAGUAAAUGGAAAGCAUUGUCACUUUUUGUUUAAAUUCCUAUCGCUUAAAGAGGUAGUUCAGUUUUGGUAAAGAGGGUGCUACACAAAAUAAUUUGUUUGUGAGAUAAUGAAAACCAAGUGUAAAAUGUAAAAUAUUUCCAGUCUGAAUAAAUUUGGGCCCCAAAUUUAUAAGAUGAUUUUUCUAAAAAUUAAUAAAAUGCUUACACUUUUCAAACAUUUUCAAAAGAGGUUUUUAAAUAGUUGUUGAUGAUUUCUUUAUAUCAUCAUUAUUUCAACACAACAUCACGAGCAUAACUUUGUAUGAAAAAUGGUUCAAACCAAUGUUUUUUUUAGAGCGCCUUCUUGUGUUUCAAUGGCUCUUUUUGAAUGAUGACAGGUUUUUUUUCUUCCAUAGUCUUCGUAAUUUUCUAUAACCUUCAAGCAUGGUGAAAUAAUAACUAUUAGAUUGUAGUGUUGUUGUUUUAUGGUAACUAAAGCUUAGCUCUACCAAAAUUGUACUACCCCUCUCAAGGGAAUGUCCACCAUUUAAAUCGUCUGAAUAUUUUCUCGUAGAUGGAUGGGGACGAAUUCAAUAUUCAAAUAAAAUGUCAGGUCGAACACCUGUUAUUUGGAUUCUACAAAUGAAAAACGUGUGUGUAGAUAUCAUCCCUUCCUCAAAAUACACAGCAGCCAUUAAAUGUGUUUAAUUUGAUUUAGCAUAAUGUUACUACAAUGUUGGAGUUUUGACAUAAAGAUAUUGUAUGGACAACAUUUCUUUCAGGUUUGACACGAACAAGUUCUCGAAAAUUGACAAUGAAAAUUACAUAUUAGCUAUAAGUUUUAUGAGUCCUAGUUAUUUUGUUUAGUAUUUGCUUGCACCAUUGUUCUAUCACAAUCUGUGUGCAGUUCAUUUGGUGAUUGACCUGUGGAGAUAAAAACAGUUCCUGUUGAAAACUCCUGUUUCACGUUUGACACAUGUAUGGCAUGUCGUGCACCAAAUUGCACCAUGUCAAGUAUAUAUGCAAAAUCUUCCUUACCGUGGGAGGGAGAUAACCCCCUCCCAAACCCUCCCCCUCCCCCCCCCCCCCCCCCCCCCCCCCCCCCCCCCCAAUCUGGCUCUGCCCCAGCCCUAUGUUGCUUCGCUCCCUCAGGCCUCAUUCUUGGCUCAAAGUUGGCAACCCUGGUACUGCAUGUGUAUUGAAUUGAAUUGAUCACUCCUUGAAAAUGUUUGUAUAUAUAUAUAUAUAUAUGUUCAAUAUGUCAGAAUAAAAAUGUAGUACAAACACAUAGUUUAAUCUUUACCGGGUAAUUGUAAUUAGUGAACCAUAUUUCAGUGUUUUCGAUAUACAUUUGUCAAUAUAUAAUACCAACAAAGUACAAACUCAUACAACAUAGGGCAAGACUAACUUUACAUAUUCAGCAAUCAUUAUGUUUAAUGUCCAGCUUUUUGCAAUGAUCUAGCUAAACAUACAACGUUCUUGUUCACAGUUGUUAUGCCUCCGCCAACACUAGAACUCAUAGUAAGGCAUUUUAUCAUGGAUGGAGUUAAUAUCAUAGGCUUAUUAGUACUUACAUACUCGUAAACUAACCAGAUAAACAUUGAUGCGUGUAUUUGAAAAUCAAACUUUAGUUCAUGUAAACAUACAAAAUAAACCUUUUUAUAUUAAAUUCAGCACA